CCUACGGGGGGUUGCAGUGGGGAAUAUUGGACAAUGGGGGCAACCCUGAUCCAGCCAUGCCGCGUGUGUGAAGAAGGCCCUCGGGUUGUAAAGCACUUUCAGUGAGGAAGAACGCCUGGUGGUUAAUACCCAUCAGGAAAGACAUCACUCACAGAAGAAGCACCGGCUAACUCCGUGCCAGCAGCCGCGGUAAUACGGAGGGUGCGAGCGUUAAUCGGAAUUACUGGGCGUAAAGCGCGCGUAGGUGGCUUGAUAAGCCGGUUGUGAAAGCCCCGGGCUCAACCUGGGAACGGCAUCCGGAACUGUCAAGCUAGAGUGCAGGAGAGGAAGGUAGAAUUCCCGGUGUAGCGGUGAAAUGCGUAGAGAUCGGGAGGAAUACCAGUGGCGAAGGCGGCCUUCUGGACUGACACUGACACUGAGGUGCGAAAGCGUGGGUAGCAAACAGGAUUAGAUACCCGUGUAGUC
rnacentral:rRNA from 1 species